AUGGUCUUCCACGUGGGGUAUGGUUAUAUACCUGGAUGUAGUCUUUUCAGCUUCACUCAUGACAGGGAGGGAGACCUUCUAUCUAUCAUUUACUACCAACAAAUACCACUGAAAUGUUCUAAGGCAGAAGAUGCUGCGAGAAAGAACUUCUGCAACAGUUUUGCUGGUUGUGUGGAUAUAUGUCAGCCAAAACUGUCUGCUGCCGCUGUCGUCAAACCUUCAAAAGGUAUUUUCCUGGAGGCUCCUUAUGAAUGAUGUAGACAGUUCAAGUAAGCUUUUUUUAUUUUUUUAUUUUUUCCUACUGCUGUAAGGAAAGACUGCCUACAGUUGGGCACAGCUGUGAGAACAGGCAUUCAUGCCAUUCUGAAGACAGAAAGCUGCUCCUGCAGGGCACUUCUUCACAAGGCUCCUGUGAUGAGGAAGGCUUGUGUGGUAUUGGAAAGCUAUUAGGGAAAAGGUUAAAAUGUAUGAAAUUGUCAGGUAAAGCAGAAACAUUGAUCAUAGCUGUGUUUCUCUUUAAUUCUUCUCAGGUGUGAUAACUCAGAAGUAUCCUUUGAUGUUCAUACGAAUCCAAGCCAUCAUAACUGAUCUAGGACUACACACAUGACUUGCUAUUAACAGUAUUUGAGUUUCAGUGAAAUGUAAUAGCCCAGAGUUUGGUUACCUAAGUCUCAUAUGAACUUUUUUUUUUUUUUUCCUUCAAGUUGCUCCUAACUGACACUCACUCUAGGGCAUGGUGGAAAUCUGGUAUCAGAGGUUCAUCUACCCCAUUUCAAAGAGAUGAUGAUAAGACCUUUUGGUUAAGGACAGGAGCAAAAAAACAGCUGAAUAACAAAAUUGCUUUACUCACAAUAUCAUUAAUGUAGAAAUUUUCUGACAAUUAAUGAUCUGAAAGCUUUGAUUCUUGAAAAGUAAGUGCAGCAGAAAACACCAUUAUAGGAACACAGUGAAUGGACUCUGUAAACACAAAGGGCCUUCUAAAAUGCCAGAACUUGUGAGAUACGAUACAAUUAUGGCAGAUUUUGCCCAGAUGUUGUGGAGUUUUAUGAAGAGGGUAGAGCCAUCUAGAUAGAAUCAUUAUGUUUUUAUCAAGAAAUUAUUUGUGUCUUGUGGUAAAUGAGAACAUUUUCUACAUAGCUAAUACGUUCUAUUCUCAGUUUUUCAAUAUCUGAAUGUUUCAUAACCUUCCAUGGAUCUCAUAUUCCCUACACACCAUUGCUAUAACUUACCUCUACCAGCUACUCUUUAGAGAAAGUAAAAUUAUAGUGAGAUAGGCAACGUGCUUAACAUCACACAUCAACUCCCUGACUGAGCCAAAUUCCUUCCAUCCAAAUCGUGUGAAGGAUCCCCUACAUGUAUCUGUCCUUUCCCCACACAACAUUUUUGUGUCAUAGAUUGGACCCAAACAGCUUUUUCUGUUAGCAGUUAAACUCAUUUUUGCCUUUGGUGUCUUACUGCAGCUAUCGGAUGAGGAGAAAAAUGAAUUCACCAGACUGAGCUAUUCACAAGCUUGUUCAUGCCUCUCUUUAAUGUGGGUCAUCUGUGCUGCCUUAUUCUUUGCAGCUGACUGUCUCUGCCCACCUUGUAAAACAUGGGAAAUUGCCCUUUCUCCAUCCAAAUAUCUGGUUGAGGAAAUGCUUUAAAGGGAAAAAUUGUAGCUUCUUCUUCAAAGGCUGAUUCAUGGAAGAACUUGAGCUUUGAUUUAUAAUUAGAGCUCUGAAAACCUUUCAUUAUGAAGCUGGAAAGAGCUAGGAAAAAAUCCAUCCUCACCUGUUUUCUACCUCACUUCACUGUAAAUCUGGUUCAUGUCUGUUCCCUGCCUCUCUCUGCAAUGUUUUUGCUGGUAGUACCACGAACCAAUUUCAAAGGGAAAUUUCAAGACAAUGAGAACCAUCUGCUUUCCCCAUAAUUUCAGAACAAGGAUUUCUGCUUCACUUGAAACCACUGGAAUGUGCGCCCAUUCUGUGUGACUUUAAAGAAAGGGCAAAAAUUGCUCACUUUUGUCUUCUCUCCUCUUCUUUCCGCUCCCUCAAAAAAUAUAUUUCUCUAUUUCUGGACUGUGCCUCAGGACUUGUAAUUUAAUUUGGAUCCAGGCUGAACUUGCAUUUGCUCACAAGACAAUUGUCUGUUCCUAUGCUCAUGAGCUGCCAUUUUGCAUAACAUGGGUAAUAUCAGUCCUACUCAGAAUAGGAUAGAACAAACCUGUUUGCCAUGAAAAUACUUCAAUUCCCCCUUGGCUUCAUUCUCAUGAAAAACAUUCUAUUCAAAAGCAUUAGCCACUUGUGAGGAUAAAUCUGUUUUAAUGAAAGGGUAAGCACAAAACUUAAUGCAUAAGGAGAAGGGAUUUAUUUUACUUUAUUUUUUUUACAAUUCUUCAUAUUUAUUUUUUGUGUUUUUCAUUAUUCUUUGGUAUUUCCUACUUUACUCUUUCUUUUCUCUUGCUCUCUCCUAGCGGUAGUCCUUUCCAAAUAUGUGUCUUCAGUUCCUCAGGAUGUUUUUUUUUUUACUCUGACAAAGCAAAAAGCUCCUCUCAAAACAUUUCUAAAGAAUGAUUAUAGCAAUGUGUAAUAUCUCAACAUGUAUAGAUAGGAGCUGCAGAUAAAAACUUGGAUUUGAAAAUAAAAUAAUUUAUUAGUAAUUUGCCA
rnacentral:lncRNA from 1 species